UUUUUUUCGUCUUGAUGGAAUGAUCUACUAUCAUCAUCUGAUCUUUACUCAAGUCAGAUCUACAAAAAAGAAGACAAUUGCCAUAAGCAGCACUUCCACAAGCUGAAUCAUUUAUUAAUAUUUAUUGAGAUAUAUGCACUCAAAUAUUCAACUAGCACAGGAUAGCUUAGUUGAUUGAGUAGGAUGUGUGAACUAUUGUAAAUUUUUUAUUACCAGUUUUUGAUUCUUACAGAUAAAAAAAACUAAAAGAAGGUGAAUCAAUAAUUCAUUAUUACUCUUAUUAAUGCACCACCAAAAACAAAAUCGUAGACUUGUCAUAGGCUUCUUUAUCAAAAGCAAUUUAUACUUCACAAAUGGCACCUCUGCUUGUUGAGAAGAAAAUUCAAGCAAGUUUGAUCAAAACAACAUAUUCAUGGAUGCCAGCUCCCCAUUCAUAGUCAUCAAUGUAAAUUAAUUAAUUAUAAAAUCGAAAUAGUCAUAAUCAUUCUACCAGUAAAGUGACAUUUCCACUAGAAUGUAUCCUACUGGAUACCAAAGGUAUAAAAAAGGAAUAGCGUUAUGCUACUUUCAAAUAAAAUAAUCCCCACUGCUAUACCGAAUGUAUAACAAUACCAAAUGGUAGGGAUUUUUUCAUGAUCAACAAUAUAAUAGUUUAUUUCAAUGAAAAGAAACUUACAAAAAAUAUGGUAUAAGGAGAAGCAUUUAUUGGUUGCAAUUUAUGAUAAACUGUUGUCAGAGGUAAUGGAUGUCUUGAGCCAUCCAUGUUGACAACAACAUACUCAGCAUUUGGCCACCGUCUAACAUGAAUAUUAGAACAAAAGGCACGUACAACAAAAAUAUCACUAGAAUAUCUAUAAAAUAUUUCAUAUUAUCAUUAUUGUUAUCUUAAAAUAUUUUACAGUAUCUUACAUGAUCCCUUCCAGUCGGAAAGACUUCUGUUGUUAUUGCUGUUGUUACAUGAUCCUUUAGGAAUGAUUUUCGUAUUUCAGUAUAUUUCAUGAUUUGUUUCCUUAUUUUAUUAAGAUUAGGAGUCUAGUACCAUUGUAAAUAGAAAUUACUGCUUUUUUGUAGAACACCAUUACAUACAAUAAAUCGGUAUUAUAUUUUAUAAUUCUGAGCUUGGUCUCUCUUUUCCUCCUUCUCUGCCUGUUCCUAUAAUUUCAAGGUAUAUGAUAUGUCCUAGGUAUUAAAAACAAAUCCUAGUAACUUGCACAUGUUACGUCCAAGAUCAUCCCUUUGCGCAAUAAUUGAAGCAAAGUUAUGGGCGGCAAUUCUUUUUGGUUUGCAAACUGAUAUUGAAUCUGGUUUAUAAUUCCAUUCUCAACUCUUAUAUUAUAAAUUGUAACUAUAAUAACUUUUAAUUAAAGACUCUCAACAUUUUCCAUAAAAAAAAAUUCUCAACUGUUGUUUUUUUUUUUUUCUUUUUGAGGGAUGUUUUCCAUGAAAAACUAUUAUCUUCAUUUACUGAAGAGCUAUGGGUGGUGGGGGGUCUCACAGACUUCAUAGAUUUAUCUCUCUUAAUGGACCUCUCUAAUUACUGAAGAGGGAUCAGACCCGUUUAGUUUUUAUAAUUGGAUAAAAAAUAAUCUUUUCUCAAUCAUUUCAAAUUAUCUUUUUUUUUCCUCUUAAAUUUAAUUUUAAUAUUUUUCUUUAAAAAAUAUCAAUGAUUAAAAUAAUCUUAUAUUAUAAUUUAAAUUAUUUACUUUAAAUUUAAAAUAUAAUUUAUAUAAUACAGUUAUAUAUUAAAAAUAUUUAUUUGUUAUAAAUUCUAAUUAUAAAAAAAAAAUUGAUCAUGUGUAAUUUACUUGAUUAAAAAGACCCAAAACAAAAGGAGGUCUCCCGAAAAUUUUGCUCAGUUUACCGUUUUUCCGAGCAUGCUUUCUUCCUCUCUUUUUGAUUAAGCUUGAUCUAAUGAUAAAUAAUAAACCAAUGUUCCUCUUUCUGACAACACUGUCAAAAAGUAACGCAAAGUAUUGCUGUUAAUGAUGCAUGUCACUUUGAUUACAGCUACUCUCCAUUGUCAAAGCUGAAAAUCAUUGCUUACUCCAAGCUAAAAAUCAUUGCUUACAGCUAUAGAUACUUCAAGAACACAAAACAAAUUAACGUCUUAUUAAUUAAUACUUUAAGAAACUAAAAAGAAUAAUUAUUUAUUAUAAAAAUCAUAAGAAAAUAUAAAAAAGAAAAGUUAUGAAUGAUAUAAUUUUUAUAUGAUCCAAUAAAAAAAAUUCACUUUAAUAAGAACUUUUUUGUUAGCAUUUGAGGACAAACAAUAUGAACACAAAAAAGAUAGCAAAGAAAUAUACCUUGCUUCCGUACCCCAGAGUCUGGUUUCUCUACCAUCCUUUUCACCUUUUAAUCUUUUUUGGCCAUUCUUUAAUCCUGCUCACUUUAUGGCCGGCUGUUUGUCCAUCACUUCCAUCAUCCAAUCUCAUAUAGAUUCCUUAGCCCAUCACUCAUCACCCCACUAUAAAUAAUUGCCUCUUAAGUUAAAACUUUGAUCACACACAACAUAAAAACAAACUCUUAAUUAAUUGCUUCACCUCCAAAAAAUGGCCACCACCACCACCACCUAUGCUUAUGGUUCCUCUUCUCAAAGAUCACUGGGCAUGGUGCUGGCUCU
rnacentral:lncRNA from 1 species